UACAUGUGGUGCAAGCGUUGUUCGGAAUUACUGGGCAUAAAGGGUGCGUAGGCGGUGUCGUCAGUCUGGGGUGAAAUCCUGCGGCCCAACCGUGGGACUGCCUCGGAUACUGCGAUGCUUGAGUGCGUGAGGGGUGAUCGGAACGCGUGGUGUAGCGGUGAAAUGCGUAGAUAUCACGCGGAAGGCCAACGGCGAAGGUAGAUCACUGGCGCGCAACUGACGCUGAGUGCACGAAAGCGUGGGGAGCAAACAGG
rnacentral:rRNA from 1 species